CCGUUUAACUCGUUUCCUCCUUGAAGGAAACUACUGGAG
rfam:Brucella melitensis biovar Abortus 2308 chromosome I, complete sequence, strain 2308